GUAGCGGUGGUUAUUGGGUUGAAUGCGAGGAUGACAAAGGAUUUGGUCUCUAUAGCAUAGACGUUAGAUUAAUAAUUAAUGGUGCGAGAUUUGAGAGUGAUAGAGAGCAAGGAUUUAACUGCCUGGUAAUUUAUCGGUGGGGGUCAAGUAGACUGUUUGUGAUACGAACAAUCGACAUGGUAGCACUGGUUACGGGGUUGGAUGAGAGGAUGGCAAAGGAUUUGGCCUCUAGUAAAGGCGUCAAAUUAAUAAUUAAUGGUGCGAAAUUUGAGAAUGAUUGAGAGCAAGGAUUUAACUGCCUGGUAAUUUAUCAAUGGGGAUCAAGUAGGCUAUUUGUGACACGAACAAUUGACGCUGUACCGAUGGUUAUAGGGUUGGGAUGAGAGGAUGGUAAAGGAUUUGGUCUCUAGUAAAGGCGUCAAAUUAAUAAUUAAUGGUGCGAAAUUCGAGAAUGAUUGAGAGCAAGGAUUUAACUGUCUGGUAAUUUAUCGGUGGGGGUCAAGUAGGUUAUUUGCGAUACGAACAAUCGACAUGGUAGCAGUGGUUACGGGGUUGGACGAGAGGAUGGCAAAGGAUUUGGUCUCUAGUAAAGAUGUUAGAUUAGCAAUUAAUAGUGAAAGAUUUGAGAGUGAUAAGAGAGUAUGGAGAUCAACUUUGAGUGGUUGAGGAGUGAAACCAAAGAUGAUGAAAGAAAAUGGUAGGGGGAUGCUUAAUUUGGUGAUGUACUUUGUUUGGUAAGAGGGAUCAAUAAUAGUGGUUAAUUUAAUAGGAAUUGAAAUAUGAGAAUUG
rnacentral:lncRNA from 1 species